UCCUUUUCUUUUUUCCUCGAAGGAAAGAAGAGGGGAGGAGGAGCCUAACCUAGGGAAGGGAGGGAGACUAAGGUAAGGUAGCCUCGGACCGCUCCGCUGCCACCUCACUUCUAGAACUGUCCUGACGGAGCGAGGGGUGCCGCCGCUCCGCUCUGGCUGGCCGCUGCGCGCCGGUCGGGACUUAACUUAGUCGAUGGUACCGCCGGAACGGUAACCGAUGUCGACUUCAGACGCUGCGGUUGAGCGUGGAGUAGUGGCCGCCGCUCGACGCGCGCGACGUCGGGCAGAAGGUCUAGAUGCCCUCCGCCGUCCAGAAGCGCCCGGGGUAGCACUGCGAGUUCCACAAGCUCCUGUUGCACGAGCAGGCGCUCAAGGACCUCCUCUUCCCGGUCCCGUCCCACGACCACCACCUGCCGCCGCCGUCGGACGCCACGCGGUAGGACCCGCCGUUGGGGCAGGUCGUCCGCGUCUUGUUGCCCACCCGCCCCUAGCACCACUUGCCCACGUAGGCCCUGCACCUGCUCUAGUUGCCCACGCUGUAGCCGCACGCGCGGGAGCGGAGCGUGGGGUACUUCCGGUUGUUCUUCCCCUACCCGCUCUUCGUGCAGGGCCAGUGGUAGCGCCCGUGGUCCUAGACGCUGCCGCUCACCGAGAUGCGGCUGUGGCUGCCGUAGGAGCAGAGGUCCUGGCUCGAGUAGCACAUCCUCUCCGGCGGCGGAGCAACAGGCACAACAAGGUGAUACACCAACAUCAACGAACUUAACUUACUACAACAUAGAGUUGAACUCUAAGUCUUCGAGACUUGAACAUUAUUGACAUUCGAAUUUAACGGACUAGUUUACCUUACUCCUUACCCUUAUUUUAAUAGACAACGUACGGACAGUUUUUACAGUUUCUCUC
rnacentral:rRNA from 1 species